rnacentral:rRNA from 1 species
UACGUAGGGGGCAAGCGUUGUCCGGAAUCAUUGGGCGUAAAGAGCGUGUAGGCGGCUCGGUAAGUCCGCUGUGAAAGUCCAGGGCUCAACCCUGGAAUGCCGGUGGAAACUGUCGAGCUAGAGUCCGGAAGAGGCGAGUGGAAUUCCUGGUGUAGCGGUGAAAUGCGCAGAUAUCAGGAGGAACACCGGUGGCGAAGGCGGGUCUCUGGGCCGUAACUGACGCUGAGGAGCGAAAGCGUGGGGAGCGAACAGG